rnacentral:rRNA from 1 species
GUGCAGCAGCCGCGGUAAUACCGGCAGCCCGAGUGAUGGCCGAUCUUAUUGGGCCUAAAGCGUCCGUAGCUGGCUGCGCAAGUCCGUCGGGAGAUCCACCCGCCCAACGGGUGGGCGUCCGGUAGAAACUGGCCGGCUUGGAACCGGAAGGCUCAGAGAGUACGUCCGGGGUAGGAGUGAAAUCCCGUAAUCCCGGACGGACUACCGAUGGCGAAAGCACUCUGAGAAGACGGCUUCGACAGUGAGGGACGAAAGCUCGGGUCUCAAACCGGAUUAGAAACCCCAGUAGUCC